rnacentral:rRNA from 1 species
UACGGAGGGUGCAAGCGUUAUCCGGAUUCACUGGGUUUAAAGGGUGCGUAGGCGGGCAGGUAAGUCCGUGGUGAAAUCUCUGAGCUUAACUCAGAAACUGCCAUGGAUACUAUUUGUCUUGAAUAUUGUGGAGGUAAGCGGAAUAUGUCAUGUAGCGGUGAAAUGCUUAGAUAUGACAUAGAACACCCAUUGCGAAGGCAGCUUACUACACAAUGAUUGACGCUGAGGCACGAAAGCGUGGGGAUCAAACAGG